rnacentral:rRNA from 1 species
UACAGAGGUCUCAAGCGUUGUUCGGAUUCAUUGGGCGUAAAGGGUGCGUAGGUGGCGGGGCAAGUCUGGUGUGAAAUCUCGGAGCUCAACUCCGAAACUGCACUGGAUACUGCCUUGCUUGAGUGCUGGAGAGGAGAUUGGAAUUUACGGUGUAGCAGUGAAAUGCGUAGAUAUCGUAAGGAAGACCAGUGGCGAAGGCGAAUCUCUGGACAGUUACUGACACUGAGGCACGAAGGCCAGGGGAGCAAACGGG